rnacentral:rRNA from 1 species
GGAUCCAGACUUUGAUUCUGGCUCAGGAUGAACGCUAGCUACAGGCUUAACACAUGCAAGUCGCGGGGCAGCAUGUCGGUUGCUUGCAACCGAUGAUGGCGACCGGCGCACGGGUGAGUAACGCGUAUCCAACCUGCCCUUCACCACGGAAUAAUCCAGUGAAAAUUGGUCUAAUACCGUAUGAGGUCAUACGAUGGCAUCAGAAUAUGACGAAAGGUUUGGCAGUGAAGGAUGGGGAUGCGUCUGAUUAGCUUGUUGGUGAGGUAACGGCUCACCAAGGCGACGAUCAGUAGGGGUUCUGAGAGGAAGGUCCCCCACAUUGGAACUGAGACACGGUCCAAACUCCUACGGGAGGCAGCAGUGAGGAAUAUUGGUCAAUGGGCGAGAGCCUGAACCAGCCAAGUAGCGUGCAGGAAGACGGCCCUAUGGGUUGUAAACUGCUUUUAUAUGGGGAUAAAGUGAGUUACGUGUGGCUUAUUGCAGGUACCAUAUGAAUAAGGACCGGCUAAUUCCGUGCCAGCAGCCGCGGUAAUACGGAAGGUCCAGGCGUUAUCCGGAUUUAUUGGGUUUAAAGGGAGCGUAGGCCGCCCCUUAAGCGUGUUGUGAAAUGCCGCGGCUCAACCGUGGCACUGCAGCGCGAACUGGGGGGCUUGAGUGCACGCAACGCAGGCGGAAUUCGUGGUGUAGCGGUGAAAUGCCUAGAUAUCACGAAGAACUCCGAUUGCGAAGGCAGCUUGCGGGAGUGCGACUGACGCUGAAGCUCGAAGGUGCGGGUAUCGAACAGGAUUAGAUACCCUGGUAGUCCGCACAGUAAACGAUGGAUGCCCGCUGUGUGCCUUCAUGGUACGCGGCCAAGCGAAAGCGUUAAGCAUCCCACCUGGGGAGUACGCCGGCAACGGUGCAACUCAAAUGAAUUGACGG